rnacentral:rRNA from 1 species
AGCGAACGCUGGCGGCAGGCCUAACACAUGCAAGUCGAGCGCCCAGCAAUGGGAGCGGCAGACGGGUGAGUAACGCGUGGGGAUCUGCCCAAUGGUACGGAAUAACCCAGGGAAACUUGGACUAAUACCGUAUGUGCCCUUCGGGGGAAAGAUUUAUCGCCAUUGGAUGAACCCGCGUCGGAUUAGCUAGUUGGUGAGGUAAAGGCUCACCAAGGCGACGAUCCGUAGCUGGUCUGAGAGGAUGAUCAGCCACACUGGGACUGAGACACGGCCCAGACUCCUACGGGGGGCAGCAGUGGGGAAUAUUGGACAAUGGGCGCAAGCCUGAUCCAGCCAUGCCGCGUGAGUGAUGAAGGCCUUAGGGUUGUAAAGCUCUUUCGCCGGUGAAGAUAAUGACGGUAACCGGAGAAGAAGCCCCGGCUAACUUCGUGCCAGCAGCCGCCGUAAAAC